ensembl:lncRNA
CAGACAUAGAUGCAUUACUUGAAAAUGCCAGCACAUGACAUCGGCUGAGGACUGCGCUCUGUGCCCUUCUGGAAGAACAAGAGAACUGCUGUUGUGCUUGUUUCGAAAGCCGCGUUACGCAGGUGGAGAAAAGGAGCAGCAGGAAAAAUGAAUGUGAUAAAACAAAUUGCAGUAGUUUUUUUGAACAUUUUUAUCCUACAUGAUUCGGGGGGAAAAUAAUGUUCCUCCAAUACGAAUGCUUAUCUCAAAGUAUUUCCUGCAGGCAAGUCACUCAAUUUAACAGCUACUCGUGUCCUUUUAGCACGUGAUGUUGUGACUGAUGUGCGUUGACAGGCUGAAGGAGGAGCAGCCUUUUGACGGACAGAGGGGAGAUAAACCACAUACGAGCGCUGCAGCCUUUUUAAGCUGUGUUAUUCAAGACAUUCGUUACGCUCUUGGAGCCACCUAAGGGGCCAGACUCUGCUAUCGAGGCCGCGGAGAAACCGUGGAUUCUUCUUUUAGGAGGAACUACACUUUGAUUGGGAAAGCAAAAAAG